GGAACUCUUCCGCGUAACGUCCGAACUCCUCCGCAUAACGUCCUAUGCAACGAAUACGAAAUCAAGAAUGGAAAAAUUGAAAGUGGAGAUUAUGGCGCAAUCCGUGUACCAACGUGUCAUUCUGGUUACAAACACGGGAUUUUCGCAUAUGUGAAAUGUACUGGCAAGAUCGGCGUCUCUGGCCACGCUGCUUAUGGGUGGUAUAACUUGUACUCUGUGCCUAUGAACAACAUGU